UACGUAGGGUGCGAGCGUUGUCCGGAAUUAUUGGGCGUAAAGAGCUCGUAGGCGGUCAGUCGCGUCUGCUGUGAAAACUCGGGGCUUAACUCCGGGCCUGCAGUGGGUACGGGCUGACUAGAGUGCGGUAGGGGAGACUGGAAUUCCUGGUGUAGCGGUGAAAUGCGCAGAUAUCAGGAGGAACACCGGUGGCGAAGGCGGGUCUCUGGGCCACAACUGACGCUGAGGAGCGAAAGCGUGGGGAGCGAACAGG
rnacentral:rRNA from 1 species